GCCGGGCGCGGUGGCUCAAGCCUGUAAUCCUAGCACUUUGGGAGGCCGAGACGGGCGGAUCACGAGGUCAGGAGAUCGAGACCAUCCUGGCUAACAUGGUGAAACCCCGUCUCUACUAAAAAAUACANNNNNNNNNNUGUAUUUUUUAGUAGAGACGGGGUUUCACCAUGUUAGCCAGGAUGGUCUCGAUCUCCUGACCUCGUGAUCCGCCCGUCUCGG
rnacentral:SRP_RNA from 1 species